rnacentral:rRNA from 1 species
CUACGGGUGGCACCAGUGGGGAAUAUUGCACAAUGGAGGAAACUCUGAUGCAGCAACGCCGCGUGGAGGAUGACACUUUUCGGAGCGUAAACUCCUUUUAUAUAGGAAGAAGAUGACGGUACUAUAUGAAUAAGCGCCGGCUAACUCCGUGCCAGCAGCCGCGGUAAUACGGAGGGCGCAAGCGUUACUCGGAAUCACUGGGCGUAAAGAGCGUGUAGGCGGAUUAAAAAGUCAGAAGUGAAAUCCUAUAGCUUAACUAUAGAACUGCUUCUGAAACUCUUAAUCUAGAAUAUGGGAGAGGUAGAUGGAAUUUCUGGUGUAGGGGUAAAAUCCGUAGAGAUCGGAAGGAAUACCGAUUGCGAAGGCGAUCUACUAGAACAUUAUUGACGCCGAGACGCGAAAGCGUGGGGAGCAAACAGGAUUAGAUACCCCAGUAGUC